rnacentral:lncRNA from 1 species
GUAGGAUUCUCACAAUAUCGUAUAAAUUCAACAAAAAAUGUCAUUUCUCUCAUAAUUGAUUGUGUUAUGACCUGGAUCACUGGUUAUGAUCCAUUGUUAACUGAGUCCACAUGCUCUGUCUCUCUCAUAUUAUUUCUGUAUUCAAAAGGUUUCAUUGGCAUAUCAAAGUGCUGUAGGUCCUACUCCACUUUUCUUUAUUUCUACUGCUGUCAGCAGUGGCAGAACUACAAUGCAUCAGACCCCCACAAGUGGGGGAUCCAGAAUUAUAAGGGCCCAAAUCCUCUUUGUCUGUAUUUUCUUUACCCUUUUUUAAAUUAACAACAUAAUACAAUAAAAAUUAAAUGCACUAUGAAAAAAAUGAAACAUUUAUUGAAUCAAUGCAGCGCCGGGAUAGGAACAGUAGCCAAAAAUAUAGAAACAAAAGAUGUGAUUAGAGAUUUUGCAAAUUUAAAAUCCAGGAGGAAGAAUUUCAAAUAUAUAUUCUUUUGAUAAUUUUUAAUUGUGU